rnacentral:sRNA from 22 species
ACCUGACCAGGGCAACGUGCAGACGCCCUGGUUCCAGACAGAACACACCGUGCCACGGGAAGAAAGUGCGCACAUAUGGGCGUU